rnacentral:rRNA from 1 species
UACGGAGGGUGCAAGCGUUAUCCGGAUUCACUGGGUUUAAAGGGUGCGUAGGUGGACUUAUAAGUCAGUGGUGAAAGCCCGGAGCUCAACUCCGGAACUGCCAUUGAUACUGUAGGUCUUGAGUACACUUGAGGUGGGCGGAAUACAUCAUGUAGUGGUGAAAUACUUAGAUAUGAUGUAGAACACCGAUUGCGAAGGCAGCUCACUAAAUUGUAACUGACACUGAGGCACGAAAGCGUGGGGAUCAAACAGG